rnacentral:rRNA from 1 species
CGGAGCGGAACGGGGUCGCAGAGAAUCGGUGGCUGCGACUGUUUAUUAAAAACACAGCACUCUGCAAACACGAAAGUGGACGUAUAGGGUGUGACGCCUGCCCGGUGCCGGAAGGUUAAGUGAUGGGGUGCAAGCUCUUGAUCGAAGCCCCGGUAAACGGCGGCCGUAACAAUAACGGUCCUAAGGUAGCGAAAUUCCUUGUCGGGUAAGUUCCGACCUGCACGAAUGGCGUAACGAUGGCCACACUGUCUCCUCCUGAGACUCAGCGAAGUUGAAAUGUUUGUGAAGAUGCAAUCUCCCCGCGGCUAGACGGAAAGACCCCAUGAACCUUUACUGUAGCUUUGCAUUGGACUUUGACGGGACUUGUGUAGGAUAGGUGGGAGGCUUUGAAACCGGGACGCCAGUUCCGGUGGAGCCAACCUUGAAAUACCACCCUGGUGUCGUCGAGGUUCUAACCCAGGCCUGUGAAUCCAGGUCGGGGACCGUGCAUGGUGGG